GGGAUAGCUGAUCCGGAUAACUUGUUCCCCAAUCAAACGACCCCUACAAGUCUUUGAAUAACAACGCAUAGAUUAGAGCAUCAACAAAGCUGGAAUAGCUCAGUUGGUUAGAGCGUAUGGCUGUUAACCAUAAGGUCGGAGGUUCAAACCCCUCCUUCUAGCGUUUCCAUAUUUUUCUUUCCACAAAAUUUUAGCUAGAAAUCAGUUAGCUUUUUUCUUGAUAUCAAUUUUUGAAAACCACUUUUCAAUUUUUCCAGUUGCUCUAUUUUGCUUUAGAUUCGAAUCAGUUUCUUCUAUCGGAAGAUUGCCAGUAUGAAGAAACCCUAGAAACAUUUACAAUCUCUUCUUGCAUUAUUAAGGUAAAAUUGGUCGUUAAAUACGUGUAAAAUCACAUUAAAUGAGAAUGGACUGAUAGAGGAACAGUAAAAUAGUUUAUUUCUGAGAAACGCAUGGCUAUUGAUGAUCAAUGGUUCAGUUUCACAUUUUCUGCAUAGAGGGCAAAAAUAUAAGUACUAUUAUUUUCAUUAUUUCAGUUGUGCUCAGAGUCUUAAUUUGAUCUGCUCUAUAAUCAUACCUGAGUUUCUUUGAGUUUUAAUUUGGUAUUUUUCGAUAUCUACCCGAGCGACAGACAAAAAUGUUAAAUUCUAUCCCUAGGUUGUUGAUAAAUGUAAAAAGAAAAACUUGUCCUGUAAGACUGAACUUUUAGAUUCUGUUUCUAACUGGAAUCAAGUAGAACACGAUGAAAGACAUGCAGGAUGAUAUGUUAUAUCCGCUUUUUUUUUUUUUUGGCGGUUGUUUCAUCUUAAUAAGCUUCAAAAUCAUUGCUCUAUUUCUCUGGACUGAAACAUGUGCAGCAUAUAUUUGCAUGUUGUAGUUUGAUGAUAUGCAGUUCUAGUUUUAACUCUAAUUGGACCAAUGUGAGAACUAGUAAACCAACUAGGCGAUUCUGAACAUAACCAAGAAUAUUUGUUUAAACUGUGUCCUGGAAGUUCUUUAGAAAGAGAUAUUCCUGAAGGAGCAGCUGCUAUAGAUAACUGUGAAGAUAACUAUGACAUGACAUCCAGUAUAGCACUGUUAAUUUCUUACCAGAUAAUGAUUAUGAAUUACUUGCUGAAAGAAAGAGAAAAGCACUAGCUGCUUGCGAGCAUAAACAAACCAAAAAGAAACAUGGAAGCAUACGGAACUAAAAGGAAAAGCAAGGAGGACAAAUGAUUGGAAGGCCAAAAGGAUCCAAAAACACGGUAAAUGUUGAAGUCAGAAAGUUAUUAGGAGAGGCCACUCUUUGCUAUGCUACUGGUAAAUAUACAGUGCCAUUGAAACUGUUAAAGGAAGUUAUUCGGUUACAACCUAUGCCUGACGCAUUUCAUACACUUGCUCUUGUUUAUGAUGCAAUUGAUGAAAAGAGAAAGGCCAUAAAAUUUUAUGCACUUGCUGCUGAAAUUAUUCCUAGAGACACCUCAUUGUGGAAGUUGCUUCUGUCGUGGUAUUUAGAACAAGGGAAUGCUCUUGCUGUGGAUUGGCACCUUCCUAAGGCAAUAGCUUCAGAGCCUGAAGAUAUUUCAAGACUCCUUUUUGCAUCCGGUUGCAUUGAGCUGAAAAAAUAUGAGAAAGCUGCCAAGGAAUAUGAGGAAGUAUUUCAACUUCUUCCGGACAACAUUGAAGCACGCAUAUCGGCAGCAAAGUUGUAUAAGCAGCUUGGUAAAACUGAACGUUCUGUUUUGAUUCUAGACGAUUAUCCUAAAUAUCACACAACAGAGGCUGAUCCAAUAAUUAUUUGAUAUGCUGGUAAAUAUAUGCAUUGAAAAUGGAGAAUAUGCUAAAGCCCUUCAACAUAUUGAAGGAUGUUUACUGGGAAGAGAAUGGCCAUUGAACCUAACAGCGAAAGCAGGAAUCUGCCACAUUUAUCUUGGAAAUCUGAGUAAAGCUGACACCUUACUAAAGGCUUUUAGACCAGAAAUUACAAAUGAUAAUGUUGAUUCAGUUGUUGAAAUUGCAGACAAAUUGAAGAGUCUUGCGCACAAUGAAUAUGCUUUACAUUAUUAUUUUGUGUUGGGAGGAAACCAGGGAGUUGAUGAUGGGAUUUUGAAUGGGAAAAUCGCACAAUGUUACUUGUCAAUGGAGAAAGAGGAAGAGGCAAUUCGACUCUUCUACAGAGCUGUACAUUCAGUUGAGGACAAUGGUGACGUGCGAAAAAGUAAAUAGCCUCUCUUCUUCUUGAAGAAAGGAAGGAAAAAGAAGCCAUAUCACUGCUCUCUCCACCGGUUUUAGAUAUUGGGGCAGAUUCCUGUAGCGAGACGUCUAAGUUUUGGUGACAUGAUAAGAAAGUAAGAUUAAAGCUUGUAAGAUUUAUCGGACUAAAGAUUUGCUUCCGGAGUUUGUAGAUGUAUUCUUUCCCCUGGUUAGUCAAUUAAUCAUCGUCAAGGAGUGAGCUGACUGAAAGAGCCAGAGUGUUGGAAAACAAUCAGUUCAACGACCGAUUCCAGAGACUUAAACCACCAGUUACUGCAGCUGAGCGUGCAAUAGUUGAUAGAGCAAAGAGGGAGCUUAACCUGAGAACAAAUUUGAGGGAGGAAAUGAAAUUGAAAGCAUUAGCUGCUGGUAUUGACUGGCAAAGUGAAGAGUCAGAUGAAGAGUGUGGCCAAAGAAGAAAAGAAACUUCCAACUCCUCAUCUCCAUCAUCAGCUUGUUAUUGAUUUACCCAAAUCAUUGGCAUCUCUAGAGAGAUGUGAAGAUGCAUUGGAUGUUUGCAAAUGGACGCUGAACUUUGCUUCUGAUGCAAUAUCUUCUAAUAAUACCGAAGAGCUUACACUUCUUGGGGCUCAUAUGGCAUAUGUGAUAAGUCCUAGACGUGGGGACGAUUUUGUCCGGGACAUUCUUCAAUGACAUCCUUUGAAAAUUGCAGUGUGGAAUUACUACUUUAGAGCACUAUCUAAAAUGGAGAUUUAUCCCCAUAAGCAUUUCAGAUUCUUCCGUAGAAUUUGGGAGAAGGAGAAGGAUUGUGUAUCGCCAAUUAUAUCAUUUUAGGGCAUCAGUUUUAGUGUUAGAAGCGAAUAUCAAGCUGCUGCAGAAGAAUACCUACAUGCUUACAAACUUCUUCCUGAUAGUUGAUUUAUUAAUAUUUGUAUUGGAACUGCAUUGAUUAAUCUAGCCUUUGAUCUCAGACUUAGAAUAAGCAUCAGCGUGUGGUACAAGGUAUGGCAUUUCCGUUGAAGUAUCUAAAACUUUGUGGAGAGAGUCAAGAAGCAUUAUUCAACAUAGCUCGGGCAUAUCAUCAUGUAGGCCUUGUGUCUCUAGCCACUUCAUAUUAUGAGAAGGGGCUUCCUGUUCGCGAAAAGGAUUAUCCUAUCCCCCAGCUUCCUUAUGAAAGCCAACAUCUCAGAGAAAAACGAAACCUGGGUUAAUGCAGCUUGCAUAGAGAAGCAGCUUACAACCUGCGCUUGAUCUACAAGACAAGUGGAGCAUUGGGUCUGGCACGACAGGUUUUGCGUGAUUAUUUUACUUUAUGAGGUUAUUCAUCUAACAAUAUAUAUUUAAAUGAAAUUUUUAAUAUUCUGUUCCACUAUGUUACACGUGAUUUUGAUUGAGUCAUUCUUUGAUGUAAGCGCGGAAAUAGAAAUGAAACAAUCAAAUAGAAACAAGAAAUAGGGAAGAAGAUAGAAAUGAUGGAAUCUAGUAAAGAAGCAGUUAGUCAACCACAAGUAUACCAAAAUUGAGACCUACCAAUUAGCUAAUCAAUACAAGAAAUCAAUCCAAGGGGGGAGAGACAUUGAACUCAUACAUGCGACUUUUUUGUGACAGUGGUGGCCCGAUCAGUUUCCGCACACCUUGACUAUUCCACUGGGUACUUGCUACCUCUUACCAGUACAUGUAUCGGGUGACUUUGCCUACUAAGGCUUAAGCAGAUGAGAAAAAUAACCUAGUAUGUUUGGUCUUUGCUGGAAUUUGAACCUGAGAUCUCAUACAUGGAACUCUUAUCUUGAAAAAUCCAAUAGAGGUUCAUACAAGGGUUUCCCCCACAACUCACCAAGAGUAAUCAUCUACAUAUCCAAAAACUAGCUACUAAAAUGAAGAUCUUAUGAACUAUGUAUACGUAGGGUUUAAUUAAGGUUGCAGAUACCAAAAGUAACCCUAAGUCCCUAAGCUGAGGCCCUAAAACUGCUUAGGCCAAAUUCAUGAAGUCUGGAAUUUUUUGGAGCCCAAGCUUCGCAAUCACGGAGCAUAGGUUGCGAUCACAGCUUCUACUAAUUCUGGCUCCUCGUGGUCGUGCCGUUCUUCUGUCAGCCUUCCUUUUGCUUCUUUGAGCUCUUUGAUGCCUUGAGGCAUGAGCUCCUCCUGUAAAUGUCCAUUUAAGCAUAUUAUGGACCUUGAAGUCUUAUUCCCACAAUCCUUAAAAGAACUCUAUGCUCUUGAUAGUUGGAAGGAUGCUUCCAAGUCCUUGAUGGCCACCUCGGAUCACAUCAUUCUUUUUAUUAUCAUUGGAAAUAUGCACUCCAUCCCCUAUAUUUCAUAAGCGUACAAUCUUUCUUUCCUUCCCAAUAGCUUCAACUAUUAACAAAAAGUGGUAUUUCCUUCUAUUGUCCAGUGGGCUGGUGAAUAUUUGGAUCUGUUGGUAGUGCAUUGAAGGCAUAAAAUUCCAGGAGAUCUUCAUUAGGAACUAUAGACAAAAGAUCUUUGUAAUUUCCAGUAUAUUUCAGUAUUUGAUUGGUUGGAUAUUUUUCAACACUUUAGACAUAUUAUGGUCAUGAAACUUGCUAAGAUUAAUCAGUCAGUUACCUCUCGUGGCAGUAAAAUCUUUGAUCCCUAUAUGUUGGAAACAUAACCAUUUAAGUACAUACUUAUGUUCAGAUGCUUACUACUGGAUGUUGUGUGUUUCUUUCAUCUCCUCUUUAUUUUUAUUUUUGUUGUAUUUCUCACUAAAAAGGUUUCUUUGGUGUUACUAGAUAGCUUUUUUUUUGUGGCAAAAUGAGAAUAGUCUGUCUUGUCUUUAUUUUGCAAAUCUAUUUUCUGAAAGUACUAGGAUAGUUAGCGCCUGUUACUUGAGUUGUUUUGAUCAUGUGGUGAAAGCACAUAUAGGUAAAUGUUUCAUACUGCACUUUUUUUUUCUACUCACACUAGGAGGUGCAUCAUCUCUUCUGUUCCUUUCUGUGUAAGUUUUGAAGUGAGGAAUUCUUAGUCUCCAAAACAUCACGAUAAAUUUUAAUGGCAGCAUCCUGAAUACCUGCAUAACAAUGGUAGUAGGCAUAAGAUUUCUAGAUUACAGUAUGGAGCAUUAACAGAGUCUCUUCUACGUCGAUAUCUUGCUCUAAAUCUGCUAAUUCCUAUAGGGCAUUAGGCCCUUCUUUGCCUAUAUGAAGGUUUCCGUCUCCCCGAAAUUACGUUUAAUUUCUUUCCUUCUGUGAUUUUUAAAAAAAUCCAUGUUAUCGUGUAUCAGACUCCUUUUUUUUCAUAUCUUUUCUGUUUGUGUUUAUAUGAUCUAAUGAAGUUAAAGAUGGUGGUGAGUUAGAUUCAAUUGGUAUGGUCGCUAUAUGCAAUGAAAGGGGGACUGUGGUGGGCCGUAGCAUUUUUUCUUUAUUAGGAACUUAGCAUUCCUAACAGAGUAUUCCGAUCACAUGACCUUAAGUCCUCAUUCCACUCUUUUUUAUUACAUUUUCAGAUAAAAGGUUAAUCAGAUAAUUGGAAUUUAGAGAAUUCGUGUUUCCUUUUCUGUGCAUGGAAAUGCAUCUCAAAUGGAGUUCUGCAUGAAAUGUGGCUCAUCCAGAAAGAAAUGUUGUUACGACAUUCAAGAAAAAGUUACAUGACUUCUGCACAUUUCUUGUCUUUCACAACUGAAACUUGAUCAGAGAUAGAAAGUGUUAAUCUGCUAGAGAUUAGCUCUGUGUGGUGUUGCAAAGUGAUAUUGGGGUGGGGGGUUUGACCAGUACCAAGCAAUAUCUUCAAUAACUUGUCUUAUCUCUUCAUGGCUAACGUUUAUCAUGCCUAAUCACUCGCUUUGAUUGAGAAAUUAUGGUGAAUUGUCUUCUUUGACACUUCCGAAGCGUGCUGGUGACCAGAGAAUCAACUUGUAAAAAUAGUUUAGUCCUUAAACGCCACUACAGGAUUCUUAAGUUGCUUUCAGUAUUAGCUCUGUGUAUGUGUGUUGCAAAGGGAUAAUUUUAUUUGUUCUCUACCUUUGCAUUUGAAUUUGAACUCUUAAUGAUAAAGUAUAGAAGGUUAUUAUAGUCUUUUACUAGUUCCAGAAGUUAGUUAUUUAACUAACUAUGUGAAGUCCAAAUAGCAGUUAGUUAGUUAGGAAGAAACUGUCUUUGUAUAUCAGUAUAUAAACAUUGUAUACCAUUGUAUAUUCAACACAUUAUUGAAUACAAUUCAUACCCUUUCUCUAUUCAUGUCUUUUUCUUCUUUCCAUCAUCUCAUUUCACGUUAACUAACAUGGUAUCAUAUCAGCAGUUGGUUCGAGUUCGAUUAAAAGGGUUAUCCCAAUCAAUUCAUUUUUAGUUUUCGCAAACGUGUUUCUGUAAAGUUCAAAUCAAAGCUGGUGUUCUUGAAAGAUUAUUGAAAACUAAAGAAUGGGAAUCACUGAAGAACGUGCACAAGAGGAUCUGAAGCAGAAUCUUUACAACAAUAAUCAAAACAAUGGAGGAACUGGAACUUCAAAUGCUGGUUCGAUUCAAGGUCGAGGUAUUGACUAUAAUCAUCCCCUACAUUUGAGUCCUGCUGAUAUCAGUGGGAUUAGCAUCAUAACCUUCAGUUAGUGGGUAUUGAAAAUUACAAUAUGUGGAGUAAUUCGAUGAAACUUGCUCUAAUGGGUAGAAACAAAAUGGGACUUGUUGAUGGUUCUUGUAAAAAAAAGAAAUCUAUGGUGAAGAUCUAUAGCAUCAGUGGGACAGAGUUAAUGUCAUAGUGCUGUAUGGCUGAUGAAUUCAGUUUUGACGAGUCUUAUUAGUGGAGUUAUGUUUGGUACAACUACUUGUGAUUUCUGGGAAGAUCUAAAGAAAGAUUUGAUAGGGUUGAUGGAUUAAGAACUUACAAUCUUCACAGAGAAAUUGCCACUCUUCAUCAAGGCUAGGAGUCAAAUAUUGCUUAUGAAUCACCUAGUAUAAAUCAGGCUUACGCUAUGAUUGUUGGUUAUGAAGGACAAAAGGCUAUUUCUACUAAUGUAAGUGGUGGUGGUGGUGGUGGUAGUAUGGAGAGUCAGAGUGGAAUACCAUCUAACAAUCUUGACUCAUUGGUGAUGUACUCAAAAACUCAGAAUUAUAGGGGUCAGAAUUCUCAAACUUAUGGUAAUCACAAGUUUAAGAAAUCUUAUAAUCCAAAUGUGAUAUGUGACUUCUGUAAGUUCAAAAGUCAUACUAAAGAGAGUUUUUACAAGUUAGUUGUAUCCCCUCCUGAUGUCAAGUCCAAAAAGAAACCAUAUGGAAAUGGAACUAGUACUGCCUAUAAUGUGCAGUCUGAGCAGUUUGAUACUAGCAAUAUUGGUGUUCCUCAACAACAGGCAAAUUUCAGCUAUGGUUUAAAUACCAAUAUGAUCAGCCACCAGGCUUACAAUGAGGGCUCAGCCAAGAAUGCAGAAUAUGCAAGACAACUGCAUAAUUGUGGAUUCACUAAAGAUUUAGUAUGAGCAGAUUCUGUAGAUGCUAAAUAACAAACAGACUUCUACUUUAAAGAAUGUAGAACCUGCAGACUCAGCAAACAUAGCAGGAUCUCUCCAAUGGCAAGGUGAGGGAGAUUGGUAAGGAAAAAGGAAGACUAUAUCUACUGUUGAAGGAAAUAAAGGUGCCUACAAAGAUUGCUAGAAGUACUUGUUUAACUGUUCAAGACAAAUCAAAGUUGCAAACAAGUGUUAAUCAGUCAAAUGUAGAGUUAUGGCAUAAGAGACUUGGACAUGUGUCUUCUGGUGUGUUAGGAAGAGUGUUGUCUAUGGAUUUACCACAUGUUAGUAAUAAGAUUGACAGUUGUAUAGUCUGCCCUUAUGCUAAGCAGACUAGGUUAGCAUUUCCCGUUAGUAGCAUUAGAAGCACUGGCAGUUUUCAGUUAAUUCAUGUAGACUUUUAGAGUCCUUACAAAACAACUACAAUUGAUGGAAAUAAAUAUUUCUUGAAUCUUGUUGAUGAUUUUUCCAGAACGACUUGGUUAACUUUUUUUGAAACAAAAAAAAGAUGUUUGUGUAUCUAUUCAACAGUUUCUGCAGUUUAUGCAAACUCAAUUUGAUAAAUGUGUAAAAGUUAUAAGAACUGAUAAUGGCGCUGAAUUUGUGAAUGGUGUUUGGGAUAGUUUGUUCAAAAGGUUGGGUAUACUACAUCAAAGAACUUGUCCUUAUACUCCUCAACAGAAUGGAGUAGCAAAAAGAAAACAUAGGCAUAUUGUAGAAGUCACAAGCGCAUUAAGAUUCCAAGCUAAGAUUCCUAUCAGAUUUUGGGGACAUUGUGUGUUGGCUGCAGUCUACUUAAUCAACAUAAUUCCUAGUAGGUUGAUAGAUGACAAGUCACCUUAUGAAAAAUUAUACAACAAACAACCAAUGUUUACACACCUCAGAGUGUUAGGGUGUUUGUAUUUUGCAAAGAGUUUAACAGAAACAGACAAAAUGAUGUCUAGAGCAAAAACUGUUGUGCAUAUGGGCUACUCUGAAGUGCACAAGGGAUAUAUUUUAUAUGAUUUGUCUAACAAAAGUGUUUUUGUAAGUAGGGAUGUUAUCUUUAAGGAAGCAAUAUUUCCAUUUGCAGUAACAUCAACUAUUGAGAUGCCAAUAUUUGUAGACAAUUUAUCAGACUCAAGUUUGUUGUAUGAUACUGAAGUUUCAGUAUCUGAUA